AGAGUUUGAUCAUGGCUCAGGACGAACGCUGGCGGCGUGCCUAAUACAUGCAAGUCGAGCGGACUUGAUGGAGUGCUUGCACUCCUGAUGGUUAGCGGCGGACGGGUGAGUAACACGUAGGUAACCUGCCUGUAAGACUGGGAUAACUAGCGGAAACGUUAGCUAAUACCGGAUAAUUUAUUUUCUCGCAUGGGGAGAUA
rnacentral:rRNA from 1 species